GACGAACGCUGGCGGCGUGCUUAACACAUGCAAGUCGAGCGGAGCGGCGAACGGGUGAGUAACGCGUGAGUAACUGCCCCCCUCUCUGGGAUCACAGUUGGAAACGGCUGCUAAUACCGGAUAGUGGGGGAUGACUCGCGUCCUAUCAGCUUGUCGGUGGGGUAGUGGACGACCAAGGCGACGACGGGUAGCCGGCCUGAGAGGGCGACCGGACACAUUGUGCUGGGUUAGGGCCCAAACUCCUACGUGCGGCAGCAGGGGGGAAUAUAUCACAAUGGUGGACGUGCUGUUGGAGGAACGCCGCGUGGGGGAGGACGGCCUUCGGGUUGGAAACCGCUUUGGGCCAUGACGCGGUAGUGGCAGAAGAAGCACCGGCUAACUACGUGCCGGCGGCCGCGUAAUAC
rnacentral:rRNA from 1 species